GGCCCGGUAGCUCAGUGGUCAGAGCAGCGGACUCAUAAUCCGUCGCGCGCAGGUUCGAGUCCUGCCCGGGCCA
rnacentral:tRNA from 1 species